GCCGGGCGCAGUGGCGCAUGCCUGUAGUCCUAGCUACUCGGGAGGCUGAGGUGGGAGGAUUGCUUAAGCCCAGGAGUUCUGGGCUGUAGUGCGCUAUGCCAAUCGGGUGUCUGCACUAAGUUCGGCAUCAAUAUGGUGACCUCCUGGGAGCGGGGUACCACCAGGUUGCCUAAGGAGGGGUGAACGUGCCCAGGUCGGAAACGGAGCAGGUCAAAACUCCCGUGUAUGAUCAGUAGUGGGAUCGCGCCUGUGAAUAGCCGCUGCACUCCAGCCUGGAAACAUAGCUAGAUCCUGUCUCU
rnacentral:SRP_RNA from 1 species